CCUGUAGAUGCUUUGAGAUGGGAGGAGAGUUUUAUACUUUAACCCUGUGUAUUAACCAGGCCAGGCGCCUUCCCAUAUGGGCCGAUGGAGCUGUGGAGGAGGCAGUGUUAGGCCAUGGGGGAUGUCUGGCUGGAGGAGCUGGGCCCUCUUAAAUAAUGUGCAGCUGGUGGCUAGUUCAUCUUGUUCUGCAGAGUGUUCGGCUGGAGCCCCAGAACCUGUGCAUCUGAAGAGCCUCUUGCAGGUGGGGAAGUGGUGGAAAUGGGAAAAGCAGACAAGGGUGAAGGCUGGUCCUGGUGCCCCUCCCCUGUUGCUUUGCGCUGCCCCGUCUUGUGGGGAAGGUCAGAGGGGAUGACUUCUGCUGGAGCUGGUGCAAUUGGGGAACAGUUUCAGGCUCUGCAGGAAUGUGCCAGAAAAGGCCUUGUUCGGCUCUUGUUUUCCCAAAACAAAGGAAGCAGCCUUGCAUUGCUGGAAGUCGCGUGCUUGGGCUGUGCUGCCUUGUUAUCGUCCGAUAACCCAGUGACCCAGGCGCUGCCCUUCUCCUCACCCGCCAGGCUCUGCACUAGGGGAUGUGAACAGCUUCCGCAUUGUUACCCUCUGCAGAGAUUCACUUUCUGCUCAGUGUGCGGAGGAGGAGUGCGUGUUGCGGGGAAGGCAUGGGAGGCUCUGUGAUCCCUUUUGAGGUCACGGAUAAAAGGUGUUAAAUGAUGUAGGGCCAAGAGCUGAUCCCUUUGUGACUCCUCUGGAAAAAUACCCACUCAGUGACUAUUCCACACAUACAAUUACUUUUUGAGACCUAUCAAUUAGCCAGUCUUUAAUCUGUUUAAUGUGCGCUAUGUUAAUUUUGUAUCGUUCUGGUUUUUUCAAUCAGAAUGUUGUGCAGUACCAAGUAAAAUGUGUGUUAAAAAAUGAAAUUACAAGGCCUUUGAAACCA